rnacentral:rRNA from 1 species
UACAGAGGGGGCAAGCGUUUGUUCGGAAUUACUGGGCGUAAAGGGCGCGUAGGCGGCCUUCUAAGUCGAACGUGAAAUCCCCGGGCUCAACCCGGGAACUGCGUCCGAUACUGGAAGGCUUGAAUCCGGGAGAGGGAUGCGGAAUUCCAGGUGUAGCGGUGAAAUGCGUAGAUAUCUGGAGGAACACCGGUGGCGAAGGCGGCAUCCUGGACCGGUAUUGACGCGUGAGGCGCGAAAGCGUGGGGGAGCGAACGAGGAAUUAUGAUACCCUAC